UUCAAUUUCAAUGCCGUUUGGGAGAGAAGAAAAUCUGUAGUGAGAUAAUCUGGAGUCUUGGGAGAAGAAGAAUUAGAAGAAGAGUUAAUUUGGUUAUGCAAAAAGAUAUUGCUUUCUUUAAAUAUCCAAGCAAGUUUUGGAGUGCUGUUACCAGGGGUGAAGGAUGUGAAACAUCAGGAAUAAAUAGGGUGGAAAAAGAAACAAUACAGAAAUUUGGGGCCCAGGCUGCAAAGAAGUUGAAGUGAAGCAUGUGAACCAUUCCAGAGAAAUCAGUGCAGGACCAAAAUUGUUUUCUCUGCCUCAGAGGUCAUAAGAAAUUACUUCCUCUGCAUGCCAUCUGUGAGGGUGUGAUUUCUGGAGUAGUCACACAUGUAAUGAGCUGUACCUCCCUCCCACUGGUCAUUUCUUCAUGCUGCUUCCACCUGCAUAGACUCAGACUGCCUGCUGAGAGGUUACUUGGGUGUACUCAGCUACAUGAAGAAUAUGUAAACAGAGCCAAAGCACUUCAUACUACAGUGAUUCCAGUAGUAGCGAUCAGGAAAACCUGUACGAUUUUAAACUGUGUCAAAAAGAAAUAGAGUGCCUUUUCAAUAGUGUGCAUUGAUGGUGUGUAUGCCUCAUAUCUAAAGAUUCACUGGAAAUUUUCUGUUUCACUGAAGAUAUUACUGAAAGGUGGACUGAGUAAAGCCAAGCACACCUGUUCUUUCUUCUGUUGUUUCUCCAUGUGAAAACAUUUACCUAGUGUCUUACCAUUGGCGGCUUUGCUGUUGUUGGGUUUGGCAUAUAUCCUCUUGUAGGCUUGAUGAAUAGAAAUGUGUGAAAAUAGUGUCAUAUGGCCUAAAAGUGGAGUAACAUCAGGCUGUAAACAACAGCAUAAAGUGCUAGUAAGUCUGCAGUGUAAAUACACACUAGAUGAUAAAACAAGCCAACUGAUGAUAUUUCAUGGAUUUAUACUAGCUGAAGUUAACUGAUCCUCCUCCAAACUCAAUCAAUCACAGUUCUCUUUGGAGCUGUUUAUGAUAUUACUAAGUUCUAGAGAA